AACGAACGCUGGCGGCGUGCCUAACACAUGCAAGUCGAACGAACCGUUUACGGUGAGUGGCGCACGGGUGAGUAACACGUGGGAAUAUACAUUUCGGUAAGGAAUAACGUAGAGAAAUUUACGCUAAUACCUUAUAAUGACUACGGUCCAAAGAUUUAUCGCCGAAGGAUUAGCCCGCGUUAGAUUAGAUAGUUGGUAGGGUAAUGGCCUACCAAGCCUACGAUCUAUAGCUGGUCUUAGAGGAUGAUCAGCCACACUGGAACUGAGACACGGUCCAGACUCCUACGGGAGGCAGCAGUGAGGAAUAUUGCGCAAUGGGGGAAACCCUGACGCAGCCAUGCCGCGUGAGUGACGAAGGCCUUAGGGUUGUAAAGCUCUUUCAGAUGUAAAGAUAAUGACGGUAACAUCAGAAGAAGCUCCGGCUAAAUUCGUGCCAGCAGCCGCCGUAA
rnacentral:rRNA from 1 species